UGUGUCUCUCGCAGACGUCCCCAAAAGCGAAAACAGGGCCACAGGGUGGCGUGGUUGGGCCACAGGGACUCAUGGGGACAUUGAGGAGGGCAGAGGGGAGAAGUGGCCAGACCACAGGGAAGGCUGGGAGCCUCCCAAGGAGGCCUCUCAUGUCCCAGAAGCCCCAGGGCAGUCCUGGACAAGCUGUAAAGCAUCAAGCUUUGGAGCAGGGUGCCUGUGUCUCCCAAGGUCUCAGUGUGCUCCGAAAUGUCCCUUCACAGAUUCUACAAAAAGAGUGAUUCCAACCUGCUGAAUCAAAAGUAAAGUUUAACUCUGUAGGCUGAAUGGUCACAUCAUGAAGCAGUUUCACAGAUACCUUCUUUAUAGUUUUUAUCACGGGAUACUCAUUAUUUCAUUGUAGGCCUCAGUGGGCUCCAAAAUGUCUUUUCACAGAUUCUAUAAAAGGAGUGUUUUCAACAUGGUAAACCAAAAGAAAGAUUUUACUCUAUGAGCUGAAUGAAAUAUCACAAAA
rnacentral:lncRNA from 10 species